AUGGAAAGGGGAGAAUCCUCCCAGGGAAUGAGCCAAAUCCAAAGGGAAAACCGACACUGGAGGGGUCAUUGUGGUAACGAACUCACAGUGGCAAAGCUUUGCAAGGGGACAGACUGGUUUGGAGAACUGGGAAUUGCCCUGGCUGAUACUGGGGAGAACUUGUGUGCUCCCUGCUGGGCCGCUGAUCCAGCACCGGGAACGUUCCUGCUCGAGACUCCGGAGGUUCAGUCCCAGCAGCUCCCCUCGAGCAGAACUGGGUGGCACCUCUGGCACGUGUGGCCCACCGCCAGCACCACCAGUGCCACCAGCACCACCACCAGUGCCACCAGCACCACCACCAGUACCACCAGUACCACCACCAGUGCCACCAGUACCACCACCAGUAUCACCAGUGCCACCAGCACCACCACCAGCAUCACCACCAGUACCACCAGCACCACCACCAGCACCACCAGUACCACCAGCACCACCAGUACCACCAGCACCACCAGUAUCACCAGUACCACCACUACCACCAGUACCACCAGUACCACCACCAGUACCACCAGUAUCACCACCAGUACCACCAGCACCACGAGUAUCACCAGUACCACCACCAGUACCACCAGUACCACCACCAGUACCACCAGCACCACCAGUAUCAACACCAGUACCACCAGCACCACCACCAAUACCACCACCAGUACCACCAGUAUCACCAGCACCACCACCAGUACCACCACCAGUACCACCAGUAUCACCACCAGUACCACCACCAGUACCACCAGUAUCACCACCAGUACCACCAGCACCACCAAUAUCACCACCAGUACCACCAGCACCACCACCAGUACCACCACCAGUACCACCAGUAUCACCACCAGUACCACCACCAGUACCACCAGUACUACCACCAGCACCACCAGUACCACCAGUACCACCAGUACCACCACCAGUACCACCAGUACCACCAGUACCACCACCCGGGAUGAGCCUCCCGGAGCCAGAGCGCUGCGAUGCUGGCGAGCACACGAGUUACCAGCACCGCCCUCCACGCCCAAAAAAGACGGAAAACAUCUUUUUUUCUGCUACAAGAGGACAGGACGAGGCUCCGUCCUGCCAGCAGCGGAGCAGGAAGCGGCAGAGGAGGGAGGAAGAGGAGGAGAUGCCUCGAGCUCCCCUGCCAGGCUCCAGCGGCGCUUGGCCGGGCGCGAUGGGAUUUGCCCUGGUGUGACUGAAGGAGCCUCGGGACAGCCAAGCUCCCUCCGGCCGUGGAACCCCUGGAGCUCAAAAAGCAGAGCUGCGGAGAGUUUAGAGGGGCAGAAACGGGGGGCAGCGCCAGGCCGGGGUCACCAGCGCUUCUCCGCAGGCAUUGACGUCCUCUGA
rnacentral:lncRNA from 13 species